ACACACAAAAAAAGUGAAAAAACACAUUUCUGUGAGAAAUCCCUAAAUCCCAAAACACUCUCUUCAUCGUUCCCGCCGCCACCACACUCACACUCCGGCGCAACUUUCUUCAUCGUUCCCUUCAAGAGAAGUGAAUGGGUUCAUCGUUCUCUCCAAUCGUUCACUUAAGGUAUCAAAACUCACUCUCUCCAAUCUCUUUACUGUUCCCGUCGAGAGAAGUAAGAUCUGUCGUUCUUCCAAAACUCGACUGCUCUGUCUAUCUAACAUCCACCUCCAUAACCAAGAAUCAAGUCUCAAAUUUUAGUUUCAUUCCUCUUUUCUCUAUUUGGCAAAGAAUCUCCACAAACCUAAACCCCAAUUCCGAAAUUUUCCCAAUUCCUCCAUUAUUAGUUCAUGCAUGUACGAAUUAAGGCUUCAAACUCUCAUUUCAUACCAAAACGAAAGUCAAGAAUCCUUUUUCACGGCUUGUAUUCAUGAGUUUUACUAUGGGUUGGAGCAUUUCAAGUAUUGGAGGUAAUCUAGGAUUUUCCCGACGGGUUUUACUUGCUCAAGCCGCACAAACGGGUAACUGAAGUUUGAAGUUUCAUUUUCCUUUUAAGUUCCAGAAGUUCCCUUGACACAUGAGGUUGGAAGUUUGGAUUGAAAAGAAUUAUAAGACGAGAUUCAAUUGGAGCACUAGAAUAGAUUGGAGAACAAGCUUUUGAUGUAGACUAUGUUGUGGUUGUAAUAAUCAAGUGUUGAGAGAGCUACAAUUACAGAGAUAAGCAGAUUAAACGAGUCAGGGGUAAGAAGAAACUAAGGAUUGAAGAUGGAAGAUUUUAUUACAUUAGUUUCUUCCUUGCUUUGUUAGAUUAGUCUGAUAGAUAUGUCUGAUGAUUAUUUACCAUUGUGUAAUGGAACUUUCAUUUCCUUGUACCUGAUAUAGAAUUUAGGUACUUGUUUCUUUUGAACAAGCUAUUCUAUAAAUUUUAAUGUAUCGGAACCUCAAUUAUGUAUAUCUUGGUCAAUAUUCUAGACAUUUGACAUUUGGAUGUUACAAGGAGGUCAUUGAACUUAUAUAGUUUUACUGUGCUUAUGUUAUUGAAAAUCAUAAUCCGUUUCCAUGUUGAUAUUUGAAGGUAGGGAAUCCUCUUAUGGAGUUAAAUAUGUUCUCAAUUCAAGAGCAGAGUUCUUAUGGUUCCAUGGACUGAUUUCAAAUUCUGCUUUCAAAUGUUAAGGUGUGUACAUUACUUUGUAAUCGUUUAACAGAACUUUCAUGUUUAUUAAACUUUAUUGUGAGAAUCCUUUAUUUACAUAUGGUGAGAUAGUACUAAUUUCCCAGUCUAUCAUAAUUGUUAAAUGACAAAAGUCAAAUAGUUUUAUUAAUUGCAGAGUAUAUGGCUGUCCCAUUUUAUAUCAAGCAUACUUUUGUUAAUUUUGUUCUACCAUCAAAGAAGAAUUUUGCAGGGUAUAUGUAGUGGUUUACUUUCUUCAUUCCCAACAUGAAUUCUAUUAUAGGGUAAAUAUUAACUUUGAGUUGUUUUGGACCUUAAUUUUAAUGUGAAGGAUGAGAAGCCAACCAACUGGUAGUUUGCAGAAUCUGUUCAGAUGAAGGGGAAACCAAUCACACAUAACACAAAUUGCUAUGUUCUGUUUCUAAAGUCUGAAUGCGAACCCUCUGCGAGACCACCGUGAGACCAUGCAAAAGUUGUUUGCUACCACACCAUCACUAUUUUCAAUCAAUGGCUCCAGUUGUAGUGGGAGAUGUGAUUCCAGACGGAGCUUAAUUUUGUUGCCCUUAUUUGUUGUCAUUUGUGUGUGUGCGCUAUAGGUCCGGGGUUUUUAAUGAUUGAGUCCAUUCGUUUUUUUAAGUAUCCUAAUAUAUAUUUAUGUUUUUCCAGGUAACCGAAUAAGAAAAGUCAAGAGAUGGUAGCACUAAUCAAGGAUUAUGAAGCAACAUCAUGUACCAGGGAAUGUUUAGAUAUUUUAAGAACUUAUUUUGCCAUAAUGUUUUGUAUGUUUAACCACUAUACUAAUGUUUAUGUUUUAGUUUUUCAAUGUUUGAACUACAUUGAUUUUUUUUCCGUUUGGAACUUCAAGAUUAUGGAUGUUGUCACUACUUAAUGAAUUAUGGAUGUUAAGUCACUAAAUGAAUUAUAUAAAUGAGAUUAAGUUAUUUAUAUUUA